rnacentral:rRNA from 1 species
CCCUUAGAUGUUCUGGGCCGCACGCGCGCUACACUGAAGGGAUCAGCGUGUUUUCCCUUCCCGAGAGGGACGGGUAACCCGCUGAACCCCCUUCGUGGUAGGGAUCGGAGCUUGCAAUUGUUCUCCGUGAACCAGGAAUUCCCAGUAAGCGCAAGUCAUAAGCUUGCGUUGAAUACGUCCCUGCCCUUUGUACACACCGCCCGUCGCUCCUACCGAUUGAGUGGUCCGGUGAGGCUUUGGGAUCUGAGCGGAAAGAGCGUUUCGCUGUUUCUGCUCGGAAAACUCAGUCGAACCUUAUCAUUUAGAGGAAGGAGAAGUCGUAACA